UACGUAGGGUGCGAGCGUUGUCCGGAAUUAUUGGGCGUAAAGAGCUCGUAGGCGGUCUGUCGCGUCGGCUGUGAAAUCCCGAGGCUCAACCUCGGGUCUGCAGUCGAUACGGGCAAACUAGAGUAUUGCAGGGGAGACUGGAAUUCCUGGUGUAGCGGUGAAAUGCGCAGAUAUCAGGAAGAACACCCGUGGCGAAGGCGGCUCUCUGGGACGGUACUGACGCUGAGACGCGAAAGCGUGGGGGAGCGAACAGG
rnacentral:rRNA from 1 species